rnacentral:sRNA from 1 species
GCAGCUGUUGGUAACUUUAUCCCAGUUA